GCCAUACUUGAGGAAGGACGAGAUAAAGGAAAGAGGUGAGGAGGAGCUGAGGGAGUUUGAGAGGUUGGAGCAGAGGAAGAUCCAGAGGCAGCGGAGACAGGCGAGGCUGCAGAAGCAGGAGAGGAUAAGGGAGCAGGAGAGGAGGAGGGAGCAGCAGGAGCAGAGGGCCCAGCAGGAGAUGAUAAGGGAGCAGGAGAGGAGGAGAGAGCAGCAGGAGAGGAGGAGAGAGCAGCAGGAGCAGAGGGCCCAGCAGGAGCAGAGGGACAAAGAGUUUAAGGAAAUGGAAAUGAUCAUGGCGCAACUGAGGGCAGAUCUGAAUGAGUGUGCACGAUUACCAGAGCAGUCCCCGGAGCUGCCAUACUUGAGGAAGGACGAGAUAAAGGAAAGAGGUGUAGAGCUGAGCAGAGAGAGAGAGUUCCAAGUGAAGGAAAUAGAGAGCGAGAGAGAGAAGAAGCAGUUGAGAAGGAGAAUUGAAGAAAUAGAAAGAGAUAUUGAGUUUGGGAAACAGGAAGAGCAAAGAAGAGAAAUGGAUCACAUGAAAGAAAUGGAGAGAUUGAUGGCAAGGAUUGAAGAGCCGGAAAUUGAGGCAGAGGCCAAAAUAAAGGAAAGAGGAGUAGAGGAGCUCAGCAGAGAGAGAGAUAUCCAAGUGAAGGAAAUAGAGAGCGAUAGAGAGAAGAAGCAGUUGAGAAGGAGAAUUGAAGAAAUAGAAAGAGAUAUUGAGUUUCAGAAACAGGAAGAGCAAAGAAGAGAAAUGGAUCACAUGAAGGAAAUGGAGAGAUUGAUGGCAAGGAUUGAAGAGCCGGAAAUUGAGGCAGAGGCCAAGAGGCAGCGAGAAACAGAAAAAGAGGAGGUGAGAAGGAGACGGGCAGAAAAAGAGGAGCUUCAGAGAGAGAUGGAAUGGAUGCAGGAGAUGGAAAGAGAGAAAAAGAUAGAGAAACAAAAACAGUUGGAGAAGGAGAUGGAGCAGAAACUGAGAAAGAUGGAGAAAGACCUUCAAGAAAAGCAGAGACAACUGGAAGAAAAAAUGGAAGAAAGCAAGACACUCAUAGAACUGGAAGUGGAAAAGGAGCGUGGCGCUGAGAAGAUGGUAGAAGAAAGAGUCAGGCACAGAAACUUUGAGGAAAAGAAAACAAAGGAGCAAAAGAUGCUUGAAGAACAACUGGGAGAGAGAGAGAAACAGUGUGAAAAAUAUCAACAGAAAAUCCUGCAAAUGGAGAGAGAGCUUGAAGAACAGCAAAUGAUAUCUCAGGCACAGAAAAGAGAGAUGCUGAAGAAGAGAGAGAUGGAACUAGAGAGAGCAAAUGAAGAGAACAGGAGGAGAGAGUUUGAUAGAGCAGCAUGUGAAAAGCAGAAAGAGUUGGAGAUGAUGGAACAUCAAGAGGAACUCCUGCAGAUGGAGAGAGUCAUGGCUGAAACACAGCAGAGAGAGAUGCUGCAACAGAAAGAGAUGGAGCUGGAGAGGGCAUUGGAAGAGAACAAGAGAGGAAAGAUUGAGAGAGAACAAAAUGAAAAGCAGAAAGAGUUGGAGAUGAUGGAAUAUCAAGAGGAAGCCCUGCAGAUGGAGAGAGAGUUCAAUAAACAGCGAGACAUGGCUGAAUCACAGCAGAGAGAGAUGCUGCAACAGAAAGAGAUGGAGCUGGAGAGGGCACUGGAAGAGAAAAGGAGAAGAAAGAUUGAGAGAGAACAAAAUGAAAGGCAAAAGGAGUUAGAGAUGAUGGCUGAAGAACAACAGAAAGAGCUAGAAAGACUGCAGCAUGAAGAGGAGCAGCAAAAUAUUAUGAAAGCGAAGUUCGAUAAAGAGAAAGAAAUGGAGAAGAAACUACAAGAGAUGCAGGCAAGAAUUGAGAAGGACAAAGAGAUGGAACUAUGUCGAGUUGAGGAAAAGGUGAAGAAAGCUGAGAAGCAACAUGAGGACGAAUGGAAACACAAAGUUCAAGAGAUGGAGAAAGAUCUUGCAAAGAAAAGAAAUCUGGCAAACAAACAAGAAAUGGAGAUCAGAGAGGUGGAGUCCAGGGGAGGAGAGAUGGUGGAUGAACUGAAAGAGUGUGAGAAAGCAGAAGCAGAUCCAGGGUACAAACUGAAACAAACAGGGGUACCUGAGAAGAAGGCUGAGGAUGGACAACAGGAAGAGAAGGAAAAGAGAGAAGCAGAGAUGGAGAAAAGGAUGGUGCAUGAGAAAAAGAUAGAAAUGGUGGAGCAGAGGAAAGGUGAAGAAAGCUGAGAAGCAACAUGAGGACGAAUGGAAACACAAAGUUCAAGAGAUGGAGAAAGAUUUUGCAAAGAAAAGAAAUCUGGCAAACAAACAAGAAAUGGAGGUCAGAGAGGUGGAGUCCAGGGGAGGAGAGAUGGUGGAUGAACUGAAAGAGUGUGAGAAAGCAGAAGCAGAUCCAGGGUACAAACUGAAACAAACAGGGGUACCUGAGAAGAAGGCUGAGGAUGGACAACAGGAAGUGAAGGAAAAGAGAGAAGCAGAGAUGGAGAAAAGGAUGGUGCAUGAGAAAAAGAUAGAAAUGGUGGAGCAGAGGAAAGGUGAGAUGGUGAGUGAACCUGGUAAUACUGGAAAGGAUGUAGGGGGCCAGGCAGUAGACCAAAAGCAGAAUGCAACAGAGAAUGUUCAACAACAGGAGCUAAAUCAACCCGUGAAACAGCCAGUGGUCAUGAGGAAAACACAGGGUGAGGCAGGCAAACAGGAAGUUGGUUACCAGCUGCAGCCAAAGGUGGAGGCGGAUAAAGUAGUUUACACAGAGGCAGGGAAACGAGAAAACGAAAUAAGAAAGCGGAGAACAGAGGAUGAGAGGAUUGACGCCUACAGACAGAGGGUUUUGGAAGAGAAUAGGAGACUAAAGCAGGAGCGUGAGGAGAGACGCAAGGAGCGGGAGAAAGAGCAGGAGAUUCAGCGCCAGAAGGACGAGGAAGUGAGGAGGUGGGUGGGGGACCCCGAGGGCUGGCGCAAGCAUCAGAGAGAGAUGGAGAUUAAGCAGGAAGACGAGAAAAUGCGUCAGCUGGAGCUGAAGUGGGCGAAGCAGGCAAGGGAGAUGGAGGAGAGGAGGCGCAAGGAGAUGGCCCAAGAUGAGGAGGCGCGGAGGCAGAUGAUGGAGAUAAAGCAGAGGCGAGAGAGGGAGAGGCAGCAGGAGCUGGAGAGACAGAGAGAGCUGGAGAGAGAGAGACAGAUGGAGAUGGAGAAACAGGCAGAGCUGGAAAAACAGGCAGACAUGGAGAGACAAAUGGAGAUGGACAGACAGGCAGAGCUGGAGAGGCAGACGGAGGAAGAGAGACAGAGGGAAUUGGAUAAACAGAAACUCUUGGAGAGCAUCAUAGCGACGGAGAAAAAGAAAAUUCUGCUGUCCCUUGAAGAUGAGACGGACAACAUUGUUAGGGGGGAUUGCACAGUGACUGCAGAGAAGACAAAGGAGGCUGAGGGGAAUGACUCAAAGGAUAACAAGGAUCAAAGUAAGGGGAAGAAGCUGGUGGGUUGGCUUUCUGCGAAAGUCCUUGGAGCUGGCCUAAAAAUCAUACAGCUCUAAAGGCACAGGAAGGAUAUAGAUGUUUGAGGUACUGAAAUGUUUUGGAUUAAAACAUUGACAUUUACUUUCUAUUACUCUGCAAUCCUGUAAGAGCUGUAUAUUAAUCUUACUGUGUUUCACGGUUAUUUUGACAGACUGCAUCAGAGGCUUUGAGAACCACAACAAGAAUAAACAAGAGGCCAAGGAGUCA
rnacentral:lncRNA from 1 species